AUGCCCCCUUUUGUGACACCCGUCUUACUUCAGCACUCUCACUGUGUUUAUAAUUUCCUGAAUGAGGUCGCACUUUCAGAAUCUACAGCCACCAUGACUCCACUGGUGCUGCUCUCAGUCUUCAUAGCUUUCAUUCAGGACUCAAGAUGUCAGAUUUCUGUGACUCAACCGUCUGCACCAAAGUCAGUUUCCCCUGGAGGAAGCGUCACCUUCAGCUGUACCACUGGGAGUGAUGUGUAUGGCUACAUGGCAUGGUACCAGCAGAGACCUGGACAAACUCCUAAACUCCUGAUCUAUGGUGCAAGCUCUCGUUACGGUGACACCCCGAGUCGCUUCAGUGGCAGGGGGUCAGGAACUUCAUACAGUUUGACUAUCAGUGGAGUCCAACCUGAAGACGCCGGUCACUACUACUGUCAGCAGGGCUACAGCUUACCACACAGUGAUUGAGACUCGUACAAAAACCUCACUGAGCUGCUGUGAUGUCUGCAGGUGUGAAACAGAAA